GCCAAGUCUCUGGGUGUUCAGGACCAUGGA
rnacentral:piRNA from 1 species